GCCAGAGUGGUGAAAUGGUAGACACAGCAGACUCAAAAUCUGCCGAGGGCAACCUCAUGCCGGUUCGAGUCCGGCCUCUGGUA
rnacentral:tRNA from 1 species